GGAAGUAAAAGUCGUAACAGGGUUUCCGUAGGUGAACCUGCGGAAGGAUCAUUAUUGUAUAACCGAGGUGCGAGGGCAGUCGCUGACCCGAAAGGUCGUGCACGCCCGAGUGCCCUCACACACAUCCAUCUCACCCCUAUGUGCACCACCGCGUGGGUCCCCCUUUGGCUUGUUCGGAGGGGGGCUUACGUUUUCACACAAACUUUGUAUGCAGUGUAGAAUGUAUUUUUUGUUUUUGCGAUCACGCAAUCAAUACAACUCUCAACAACGGAUCUCUUGGCUCUC
rnacentral:misc_RNA from 1 species